CUUCAAUCGUUUGCAUCUCUCUUAGUUCUAAGCACCCACUUACAUCCAAUUGUUGUGGAAAGAUGUGGUUCUUUCACCAUUCACCUUGUGGUCUUCUCUCACGUGUUGGAUAUCUUCUUUCAUGCAAAGAAGAUGAGCCUUCUUGUACCUCUUGCUGCCUUGUAUGACUCAUGGAGUGCUUUCUCUUACUCAUUUGUUGGUAUUCUUCAUCUUCAUUCUCUUCAUUGUCCUUGUUGUAUCUUGCUGGAAUUGAAGUCUUCAUAGUAUUGGGCUCUUCUAUCAUGGCAACUUCCUCU
rnacentral:lncRNA from 1 species